rnacentral:rRNA from 1 species
UACGGAGGGUGCUAGCGUUGUUCGGAAUUACUGGGCGUAAAGGGCGCGUAGGCGGCCUUCUAAGUCGAACGUGAAAUCCCCGGGCUCAACCCGGGAAUUGCGUCCGAUACUGGGAGGCUUGAAUCCGGGAGAGGGAUGCGGAAUUCCAGGUGUAGCGGUGAAAUGCGUAGAUAUCUGGAGGAACACCGGUGGCGAAGGCGGCAUCCUGGACCGGCAUUGACGCUGAGGCGCGAAAGCCAGGGGAGCAAACGGG